rnacentral:tRNA from 1 species
CAGAGGAUAGUUUAAAUAAAAUUUCAAUUUUGGAGAUUGAUGAUAAGAAAUGUUUCUUUCUUCUGA